rnacentral:rRNA from 1 species
GACGAACGCUGGCGGCGUGCUUAACACAUGCAAGUCGAACGGAAAGGCCCUGCUUUUGUGGGGUGCUCGAGUGGCGAACGGGUGAGUAACACGUGAGUAACCUGCCCUUGACUUUGGGAUAACUUCAGGAAACUGGGGCUAAUACCGGAUAGGAGCUCCUGCUGCAUGGUGGGGGUUGGAAAGUUUCGGCGGUUGGGGAUGGACUCGCGGCUUAUCAGCUUGUUGGUGGGGUAGUGGCUUACCAAGGCUUUGACGGGUAGCCGGCCUGAGAGGGUGACCGGCCACAUUGGGACUGAGAUACGGCCCAGACUCCUACGGGAGGCAGCAGUGGGGAAUCUUGCACAAUGGGAGGAAGCCUGAUGCAGAAACGUCGCGUGCGGGAAGACGGCCUGCGGGUUGUAAACAGCUUUCGCCUGUGACGAAGCGUGAGUGACGGUAAUGGGUAAAGAAGCACCGGCUAACUACGUG